rnacentral:lncRNA from 1 species
CUGUCCUGAAGUUGUACUUGCUCGUUUUCUAACGAUUGAAGUGUGAUCUCACCGAAGUUUAGCAUCUGAAACUUUGAAGUCUAGUCUGUGUACCAGCUUUUUUUGUCUUUUUAACAGAAGGAAAUACAUGUCUUCAGGAGGCAGUUUGCUAUGUUUCUUUGGUGUUGCCAUCUCUUCAUUGGCUACAGAGGUUGGGAUGAAAUGAGAACAAAACCCAAAUGAGAGAGGUCAUUACAUGCAGAUGGUCUUCUGUUUUAAUAUGAACAUCUGAGACAAUAACCCAGCUCUUCCUGAGGAAAAUGGAAUUGUCAGAGAAGAGAGAAGAGGUUACCUUGGCAACAAGGUCACCUGGCAGGACCUGUGGUGUGAGGAGAGUGACUGGGGCAGCGCGUGAUGGGAGUGCCUCAAAGAUGAUGAAAGAGCAGGAGGUCAAUCCCUCACGCUUCUCAGUGACUUCCAUCAGCUCAAGGAUCACAGUGGAAAAUGUCAAGUCAUUUUGA